rnacentral:rRNA from 1 species
AGUGAACGCUGGCGGUAGGCCUAACACAUGCAAGUCGAACGGCAGCACAGUAAGAGCUUGCUCUUACGGGUGGCGAGUGGCGGACGGGUGAGGAAUACAUCGGAAUCUACUUUUUCGUGGGGGAUAACGUAGGGAAACUUACGCUAAUACCGCAUACGACCUACGGGUGAAAGCAGGGGAUCUUCGGACCUUGCGCGAUUGAAUGAGCCGAUGUCGGAUUAGCUAGUUGGCGGGGUAAAGGCCCACCAAGGCGACGAUCCGUAGCUGGUCUGAGAGGAUGAUCAGCCACACUGGAACUGAGACACGGUCCAGACUCCUACGGGAGGCAGCAGUGGGGAAUAUUGGACAAAGGGCGCAAGCCUGAUCCAGCCACACCGCGUGGGUGAAGAAGGCCCUCGGGUUGUAAAGCCCUUUUGUUGGGAAAGAAAAGCAGCAGGUUAAUACCCCGCUGUUCUGACGGUACCCAAAGAAUAAGCACCGGCUAACUUCGUG